AUUGAACGCUGGCGGCGUGCCUAAUACAUGCAAGUCGAGCGAACAGAUGAGAAGCUUGCUUCUCUGAUGUUAGCGGCGGACGGGUGAGUAACACGUGGGUAACCUACCUAUAAGACUGGGAUAACUCCGGGAAACCGGGGCUAAUACCGGAUAAUAUUUUGAACCGCAUGGUUCAAUAGUGAAAGACGGUUUCGGCUGUCACUUAUAGAUGGACCCGCGCCGUAUUAGCUAGUUGGUAAGGUAACGGCUUACCAAGGCGACGAUACGUAGCCGCCCUGGGAGGGUGAUCGGCCACACUGGAACUGAGACACGGUCCAGACUCCUACGGGAGGCAGCAGUAGGGAAUCUUCCGCAAUGGGCGAAAGCCUGACGGAGCAAUGCCGCGUGAGUGAAGAAGGCCUUCGGGUCGUAAAACUCUGUUAUAAGAGAAGAACAAAUUGUAGAGUAACUGCUACAGUCUUGACGGUAUCUUAUCAGAAAGCCACGGCUAACUACGUGCCAGCAGCCGCCGUAA
rnacentral:rRNA from 1 species